rnacentral:tRNA from 1 species
GGGGAAUUAGCUCAGUUGGUAGAGCGCCCGCUUUGCAUGCGGGAGGUACCGGGAUCGAUACCCGGAUACUCCA